UUGUUAUCAAGUUGAUGAGAAAAACAAUAUUGUUUUGUUAUUUGUCGUUUUGCUUAGGUUGUAGUUUCCAAGAACCUGUCAACAACAUCAAGUGAGGAUUUACAGUACUGCUUCUGCCAUCUUUCUCAUGGUACUUGUUUGUCAGAGGAAGAAGUGGUGGAGGGACUGAAGGGGCCCUUGGAGACCAUUCCGCCUGUAUCCAUGAGGAGACCAGAGCCCUGAGCAGUGAGCUCUUAACUGACUGUGGAGAAGCCCUUCGGUUCUGGAAACCCUUGAUUCCUGGCUGAAAGCUGCUCUGUGAACAUGAAGAGUCUCCUUUUUUGACCACCUUCCUUCUGGUACCCCAGCCAGUAAAUGGUUCUUGUGACUUAGAAGCUGUUCAUCUUUGCCUGGACACUCAAAUGGGCCUUUCCAUGGGAGCAGAGACACUGAAAUGGAUGAAAUUGACACUGAAAUCUAUGCAGAUUCUGUUGU
rnacentral:lncRNA from 1 species